GGCAAGAAAGAACCCACCAGUUUUGCCACUUGGUUCACCAAAAUUUGCCUAACAAACAACUUGAACCAGAACCAGGCAACCAAUCUCUCUCAUCGUCUAUCCAAUUGCCAUUUCUGAGCUUUCUAUUGUACUUGGAAGGAUGUCAAGCUAUUCAAUUGAGUCCACUACAGUAGAAACCAAUGAUGGAGUGAAGCUCCUGACGAGGCUCUUCAAGCCCAUAGAAGAUGAGAUCAAAGACAAAUUGGUGAUUGUUC
rnacentral:misc_RNA from 1 species